UACAGAGGGGGCAAGCGUUGUUCGGAAUUACUGGGCGUAAAGGGCGCGUAGGCGGCCUGUUAAGUCGGACGUGAAAUCCCUCGGCUCAACCGGGGAACUGCGUCCGAUACUGGCGGGCUUGAAUUCGGGAGAGGGAUGUGGAAUUCCAGGUGUAGCGGUGAAAUGCGCAGAUAUCAGGAGGAACACCGGUGGCGAAGGCGGGUCUCUGGGCCGAUACUGACGCUGAGGAGCGAAAGCGUGGGGAGCGAACAGG
rnacentral:rRNA from 1 species